GCCAGUUCUAGUAGUAUUAUCUGAUGGUCUGGUUGUAUCCUUCUCCUUAUUCUUGUCCUUGUCCUUCUUGUCUCUGUGCUUUUCUUUACGAUCUUUUUUCUCUUUGUGUUUAUCUUUGUUUCUAUCUUUGUCCUUUUUCUUCUCUCUGUCUCUGCUCUCUUUCUUAUGCUUCUUCUCCUUGUGCUUCUCCUUUGAAGGCAAGUCUACAUUGUCACUCCUAGCAGUGUU
rnacentral:misc_RNA from 1 species